rnacentral:rRNA from 1 species
UACGGGGGGAGCAAGCGUUGUUCGGAAUCACUGGGCGUAAAGGGCGUGUAGGCGGUUCGGUAAGUGGGAUGUGAAAUGCCCGGGCUCACCCCGGGACCUGCAUCCCAUACUGCUGAGCUUGAGUACAGGAGAGGGUGGGGGAAUUCCUGGUGUAGGCGGUGAAAUGCGUAGAUAUCUGGAGGAACACCGGUGGCGAAGGCGGCAUCCUGGACCAACACUGACGCUGAGUGAGCGAAAGCCAGGGGAGCAAACGGG